AUCUUAUCUUCUGUACAACAAACUACAAACAAAAAGAGAACACAUGUACAACAUUCUUCUAGGCGCUGGUGGAAGAAUCCAAGCUUCUGACAGCGUCGCCACCGCUUAAUAAGGCGUCCCCAGGUUCUGCCCUGAAUCCGGGCUGAUAUCGCAAUUCAAUGCAACCCGCUUGAUAAGGCGUCCCCAGGUUCUGCCCUGAAUCCGGGCUGAUAUCGCAAUUCAAUGCAACCCGCUUGAUAAGGCGUCCCCAGGUUCUGCCCUGAAUCCGGGCUUAUAUCGCAAUUCAAUGCAACAGGUCCACAAUUGCUGUUCAUGCCCAACUCCGACUUCCCCGCUAAGCACUGCACCACUCUAUCGCAGCUCAGGGCAUCCCCGACGCCACAUUGUGUUUGGAACGGAUAACUACCAAGUGCACCGUCGAUCUUGGCUCGCACAUCCACCAAUAGAGUCCUCAACCGUACCACCUCCGCCUUGAGUGCGGCCUGUCCUUGCAGCCUUUUCACCAGCUGCUGGUUAAUGGCACGGAGCCUCCUCACUUCCUCUUCCAAAUGUGCCGUGUGAGCCUUCUUCUUCUGCCUGUACUUGCGGA
rnacentral:lncRNA from 1 species